GAUGAACGCUGGCGGCGUGCCUAACACAUGCGAGUCGAGCGAACGGACGAGAAGCUUGCUUUUCUGAUGUUAGCGGCGGACGGGUGAGUAACACGUGGAUCACCUACCUAUAAGACUGGGAUAACAUCGGGAAACCGGAUCCAAUACCGGAUAAUAUUUUGAACCGCAUGGUUCAAAAGUGAAAGACGGCUUUGCUGUCACUUAUAGAUGGAUCCGCGUUGCAUUAGCUAGUUGGUAAGGUAAAGGCUUACCAAGGCAACGAUGCGUAGCCGAGCUGAGAGGAUGAUCAGCCACACUGGAACUGAGACACGGUCCAGACUCCUACGGGAGGCAGCAGUGGGGAAUCUUCGGCAAUGGGCGAAAGCCUGACGCAGCCACACCGCGUGGGUGAAGAAGGUCUUCGGAUCGUAAAACCCUGUUGUUAGGGAAGAAAAUAUGUGUAAGUAACUGUGCACAUCUUGACGGUACCUAAUCAGAAAGCAACGGCUAACUACGUG
rnacentral:rRNA from 1 species